rnacentral:rRNA from 1 species
CUCUUGCCGCGUUGUCUCGGCGGGAGGCGGUGGGCGUCGCGCGCCCUAGCGGGCCGCGCCGCUCCCGUCCCCGCCGGCGGCGCCAAACUCUAAAUUUACAGCGGACUGUACGUUCUGAUUUACAAUAAAAACAAGUUAAAACUUUCAACAACGGAUCUCUUGGUUCGGCAUCGAUGAAGAACGCAGCGAAAUGCGAUAAGUAAUGUGAAUUGCAGAAUUCAGUGAACCAUCGAAUCUUUGAACGCACAUUGCGCCCGGCAGUAAUCUGCCGGGCAUGCCUGUCCGAGCGUCAUUUCUGCCCUCGAGCGAGUCCAGCAUCUAGGUGCUGGGCCUCGCCCGGCGUUGGGGCACUACGGGAAGCCCUGUGCUGUCCCCCGUAGGCCCCGAAAUGAAGUGGCGGUCCUGCCGCGGCGCCCCCUGCGUAGUAUAACAGCUCGCUUCGGGACCCGGUGGAGGCCUGCCGUCAAACCUAUACUCUCUAAGUUUGACCUCGGAUCAGGUAGG